GAUGAACGCUGGCGGCGUGCCUAAUACAUGCAAGUCGAGCGAACGGACGAGAAGCUUGCUCCUCUGAUGUUAGCGGCGGACGGGUGAGUAACACGUGGAUAACCUACCUAUAAGACUGGGAUAACUUCGGGAAACCGUAGCUAUUCCGGAAAAAUUUUUUGACCAACUAGCUUCAAACGUUAAAGUGGGUAUUCGGUUACGUAAUGGCUGACCCAGCCUUCCAUUCCUAGGUUGUUAAGGAAACGGCUUACCAAGGCAAGGAGGGAUACCCGACCUGAACGGGAGGUCGGCCAGACUGGAACUGAGACACGGUCCAGACUCCGACGGUAGGCAACAGUAGGGAAUCCUCCGCGAUGGGCGAAAGCGUGACGGAGCAAAGCCGCGGGAGUGAUGAAGGUCUUCGGAUGGGAGAGCGAUGUUAUUAGGGAAGAACAAAUGUGUAAGUAACUGUGAACAUCAUGACGGUACCUAAAGAGAAAGCCACGGCUAACUACGUG
rnacentral:rRNA from 1 species